CGUUAGCGGCGGACGGGUGAGUAACACGUGGGCAACCUGCCUGUAAGACUGGGAUAACUUCGGGAAACCGAAGCUAAUACCGGAUAGGAUCUUCUCCUUCAUGGGAGAUGAUUGAAAGAUGGUUUCGGCUAUCACUUACAGAUGGGCCCGCGGUGCAUUAGCUAGUUGGUGAGGUAACGGCUCACCAAGGCAACGAUGCAUAGCCGACCUGAGAGGGUGAUCGGCCACACUGGGACUGAGACACGGCCCAGACUCCUACGGGAGGCAGCAGUAGGGAAUCUUCCGCAAUGGACGAAAGUCUGACGGAGCAACGCCGCGUGAGUGAUGAAGGCUUUCGGGUCGUAAAACUCUGUUGUUAGGGAAGAACAAGUACAAGAGUAACUGCUUGUACCUUGACGGUACCUAACCAGAAAGCCACGGCUAACUACGUGCCAGCAGCCGCGGUAAUACGUAGGUGGCAAGCGUUAUCCGGAAUUAUUGGGCGUAAAGCGCGCGCAGGCGGUUUCUUAAGUCUGAUGUGAAAGCCCACGGCUCAACCGUGGAGGGUCAU
rnacentral:rRNA from 1 species